rnacentral:tRNA from 1 species
GCCGACUUAGCUCAGUAGGUAGCUGACUUGUAAUCAGUAGGUCACCAGUUCGAUUCCGGUAGUCGGCACCA